CUAGAUAGAUACUUCUGGAAUUGUAUUUGUUACUAUUUCACAAAAAUGAUAAAUACCACAAAUGCAGCACCACGCAUUUGAUUACGAAAUUUAAUUUGAGACACAAAUGAUCGAUCUCUCUUCCAAAGCUGUCAACAUGAAGAGAAGAGCACAUAAGACUAGGCGCCAACUUCAGGCAGAAAAAGAGAAAACUGCCAAACAACUUGUAGAAAAAGCAAAUGCUCUAAUAGAUCCUCUUGCCACUCUAGAAUGUUUUCACAAAUACAAAUCCAAAGACGGAGUUUUAAUUGAGGUCACAUGUCAGAGAGUUACAGAUUUGUCAAAACAAACUGUAUCUUGGAUUCUCGAUCUCAUGGAACGCAACAUGAAGCAAAUGUACGAGCAGUCCGCGUGGGGUUGGGAUCUCGUGGCUAAACAGACUGAAUUACUAGAACCAGCUGCUUGGUAUUUAGUGGCAUCUGCUGACGACAUACCAAUCGGUUUUUCGCACUUCAGAUUUGAUAUAGACUAUGGUGUAGAAGUUCUGUACUGUUAUGAAAUACAGCUUGAGCCAUCAUCCAGGCGCAGAGGAUUAGGCCGUUUUAUGAUGCAAGCAUUGGAAUCAAUGGCCUUUCAAACCCAAAUGCAAAAAGUUGUUAUGACUGUCUUCAAACACAAUCCCGCAGCAAUAUCGUUUUCUCAUUCACUUGGGUACCGGCUUGACAGUACGAAUCCUUAUACCACAGAAAAGGUACAUUACAUCAUUCUUAGCAAACACAAUUUGGGCAUCGUCAACCCUAAGGCAGACGAAACUCAUUCCAUCAAAUAACAAUGCAUGAAAACUAAGAUUGUGCCCGAUGAAAUAAGAUCGGCAGUAUUUCGUGUGGACACAAAUUAAUUAUUGGGGACUUCAAAGAUGGUCCAACACUAGUGAAGUCCGAUGUACGAAAGACUUAUCACCCCAGCAGAGAUCCAACGCUUGCCUAUGCAGGACCAGUCCCAUACCUUUGCCAGCCCCUUCGGGAACUGGGAAAACUCUCAAACUAGCUAUGUCUAUAUCGG
rnacentral:misc_RNA from 1 species